CACCGCACGACCCCCAGGCCCCAACACACACCCCGCGUCGGCCCUGGCCGCGCUGCGGGCGGAGACCGGGGAGCUCUGGGAACCCCCUCUUUCGCCUCCAUAGCCCCCUCCAGCGCCUGGCAGCUGCGAAUUAUGGCCCCAUUUUAUUGGGGAGGUUGGCGAGCCCAGCUGAAGGGAAAUGGAUAUUUGCUUGAGGAAGAAAGAGAUUGGGCAUUGGACAGCCAGGACAGCCCCAGCUCCUCACUUCCAAGGUUACCAGGCUGUAGAGAACUCAACGUGGAGAGUCAGAAUUGAAUGUGAAGUCCAGCUGCACCAGAAUGCGAAUUAUCCC
rnacentral:lncRNA from 1 species